rnacentral:rRNA from 1 species
CGUGCGCGGUAAUACAGAGGGUGCGAGCGUUAAUCGGAUUUACUGGGCGUAAAGCGUGCGUAGGCGGCUUCUUAAGUCGGAUGUGAAAUCCCUGAGCUUAACUUAGGAAUUGCAUUCGAUACUGGGAAGCUAGAGUAUGGGAGAGGAUGGUAGAAUUCCAGGUGUAGCGGUGAAAUGCGUAGAGAUCUGGAGGAAUACCGAUGGCGAAGGCAGCCAUCUGGCCUAAUACUGACGCUGAGGUACGAAAGCAUGGGGAGCAAACAGGAUUAGAUACCCCGGUAGUCCCUGUCUCUUAUACACA